AGCGAACGCUGGCGGCAGGCCUAACACAUGCAAGUCGAACGAAGUCUUCGGACUUAGUGGCGGACGGGUGAGUAACACGUGGGAACGUGCCUUUAGGUUCGGAAUAACUCAGGGAAACUUGUGCUAAUACCGAAUGUGCCCUUCGGGGGAAAGAUUUAUCGCCUUUAGAGCGGCCCGCGUCUGAUUAGCUAGUUGGUGAGGUAAAGGCUCACCAAGGCGACGAUCAGUAGCUGGUCUGAGAGGAUGAUCAGCCACAUUGGGACUGAGACACGGCCCCAAAUCCUACGGGAGGCAGCAGGGGGGAAUCUUGCGCAAUUGGCGAAAGGCUUAAGCAGGCAUGCCGCGGGAAUGAUGAAGGUCUUAGGAUUGUAAAAUUCUUUUACCGGGGACGAUAAUGACGGUACCCGGAGAAGAAGCCCCGGCUAACUUCGUGCCAGCCGCCGCAGUAACAC
rnacentral:rRNA from 1 species